AUUGAACGCUGGCGGCAGGCCUAACACAUGCAAGUCGAGCGGAUGAAGGGAGCUUGCUCCUGGAUUCAGCGGCGGACGGGUGAGUAAUGCCUAGGAAUCUGCCUGGUAGUGGGGGAUAACGUCCGGAAACGGGCGCUAAUACCGCAUACGUCCUGAGGGAGAAAGUGGGGGAUCUUCGGACCUCACGCUAUCAGAUGAGCCUAGGUCGGAUUAGCUAGUUGGUGGGGUAAAGGCCUACCAAGGCGACGAUCCGUAACUGGUCUGAGAGGAUGAUCAGUCACACUGGAACUGAGACACGGUCCAGACUCCUACGGGAGGCAGCAGUGGGGAAUAUUGGACAAUGGGCGAAAGCCUGAUCCAGCAAUGCCGCGUGUGUGAAGAAGGUCUUCGGAUUGUAAAGCUCUUUAAGUUGGGAGGAAGGGCAGUAAGUUAAUACCUUGCUGUUUUGACGUUACCAACAGAAUAAGCCCCGGCUAACUUCGUG
rnacentral:rRNA from 1 species